AGGGUUUGAUCCUGGCUCAGAUUGAACGCUGGCGGUAUGCUUUACACAUGCAAGUCGAACGGCAGCAUAGGUGCUUGCACCUGGUGGCGAGUGGCGAACGGGUGAGUAAUAUAUCGGAACAUGUCCGGAAGUGGGGGAUAGCUCGGCGAAAGCCGGAUUAAUACCGCAUAUGCCCUGAGGGGGAAAGGAGGGGAUCCGCAAGGACCUUUCGCUUUCGGAGUGGCCGAUAUCGGAUUAGCUAGAUGGUGAGGUAAAGGCUCACCAUGGCGACGAUCCGUAGCUGGUCUGAGAGGACGACCAGCCACACUGGAACUGAGACACGGUCCAGACUCCUACGGGAGGCAGCAGUGGGGAAUUUUGGACAAUGGGGGAAACCCUGAUCCAGCCAUACCGCGUGAGUGAAGAAGGCCUUCGGGUUGUAAAGCUCUUUCAGCCGGAAAGAAAACGCAUCUAUUAAUACUAGGUGUGGAUGACGGUACCGGAAGAAGAAGCACCGGCUAACUACGUGCCAGCAGCCGCGGUAAUACGUAGGGUGCGAGCGUUAAUCGGAAUUACUGGGCGUAAAGCGUGCGCAGGCGGCUUUUUAAGCCAGAUGUGAAAUCCCCGGGCUUAACCUGGGAACUGCAUUUGGAACUGGAAGGCUAGAGUGUAGCAGAGGGGGGUAGAAUUCCACGUGUAGCAGUGAAAUGCGUAGAUAUGUGGAGGAAUACCGAUGGCGAAGGCAGCCCCCUGGGCUAACACUGACGCUCAUGCACGAAAGCGUGGGGAGCAAACAGGAUUAGAUACCCUGGUAGUCCACGCCCUAAACGAUGUCAACUAGGUGUUGGGGAAGGAGACUUCUUUAGUACCGCAGCUAACGCGAUAAGUUGACCGCCUGGGGAGUACGGUCGCAAGAUUAAAACUCAAAGGAAUUGACGGGGACCCGCACAAGCGGUGGAUUAUGUGGAUUAAUUCGAUGCAACGCGAAAAACCUUACCUACCCUUGACAUGUCAGGAAGAUCGCAGAGAUGUGAUUGUGCCCGAAAGGGAACCUGAACACAGGUGCUGCAUGGCUGUCGUCAGCUCGUGUCGUGAGAUGUUGGGUUAAGUCCCGCAACGAGCGCAACCCCUAUUCUUAAUUGCCAUCGGGUAAAGCUGGGCACUUUAAGGAGACUGCUGGUGACAAACCAGAGGAAGGCGGGGACGACGUCAAGUCAUCAUGGCCCUUACGGGUAGGGCUACACACGUGCUACAAUGGACGAGACAAAGGGUUGCGAAGCCGCGAGGUGAAGCUAAUCUCAUAAACUCGUUCUCAGUCCGGAUUGCAGUCUGAAACUCGACUGCAUGAAGCUGGAAUCGCUAGUAAUCGCAAAUCAGAAUGUUGCGGUGAAUACGUUCCCGGGCCUUGUACACACCGCCCGUCAAGCCAUGGGAGUGGGUUGUACCAGAAGUAGAUAGACUAACCGCAAGGAGGUCGUUUACCACGGUAUGGUUCAUGACUGGGGCUAAGUCAUAACAAGGUAGCCGUA
rnacentral:rRNA from 1 species